rnacentral:ribozyme from 1 species
CGGUUGGGAGAGCUCUACUCACAUAAGAGCCUCCGAAGCCGGCCAGGGAAACAUGCUUCUAACAAUGUUGGACGUAGCACAUUAACUGGC